AAGAAAACUUCUCUUUUUUUUUUUUCCUUUGGUUAAAAGCUGUUAUCUAUUAUCGAAAUUUAAUUCUCCAUUUGGGAAUUACAAGCAGUAAUACAAUAAUAAUCAUUGUUGGUUACUACACGCUAAUUUCAAACUAUUCCAGGCAGCCGCCUUCUGCUUUCUGUGCAAUCAUUUAGCAUUAGGCUCCAAUAUAAAAUGAAAUUACUCUAAACUGUCUGUCAAAUUUGACUAUUCUUUUAAAAGGACGUAGCUGUUACUUACAUCAUAUAAUAGCAACAGGACUAAUUUAAUUACUAGUCAGGUAUGAAAAAUAAGAGUUCAGCUUGCAACCUUCAGGUAAUUAAGCACCUACCUGCUAUUAAAAAGAAAAUCAUCAGGGCCAGCGUGAGGGAUGAUGGUACCGGGUUUCUGCAGGACUUGAGUUUGAUGCACCUUCCUUGAUGCUUUUCACAAGAUGAACGUUUGACUGGGACUGCAGGCUUCCAGGCUCCCAGCGCGAGGCCUGUUCACACACGUAAGGAGAAAACAGAAAGCCAGGCCUGAGCAACUCAGGACCAGCUGGAGGGUUUUGGCUGCGGAAGGACUCCAUGAAGCAUGGUAUUCGGGUAAAUCCAGGUUUCCCUGGGAAGGCUAACUAGCUCGCAUCCAGCAGUGUUCACUGUAGCGCUGGAGAGAUUUCUCAGGCGCUUGUUCUCCUGCCAUCUCGUUCACAGCUUUGGUGGAAGUCAAGGAGAUGUUGCUGAUGAUGUUUCUCACCAUGGCUGUGGACAUGCAGCCUGCCCAUGCUCCUGCAGCAGCAAGCGCCAACCAAACUGCACUAAAGGUGCCUCCAAGCUGCUUGAAAUUCGAAAUCAUUGGAGCACAUACACUUUAGCAGGUCUUUUUUUUCUAUUGCAAAUCCAACAGAGAAGUGCCUGGCUCAGCUGUGACACAUUUGCAAUGUAUUGUCUUCAUAUGAAAUACUUCGCUCCCCAUGACAGCAGUAGUAGUCUGAGCACCUUUCUUUGAAUAGCUUGGCUUUGCUCCCCUUCAACACCCAACUCUAUCACUGUGGGUUUGUUAAUGGCAGGAUCACUUGGGUCCCAGCCAGCAGAAGUCAUAGAAUCAUAGAAUCAUUUUGGUUGGGAGAGACCCUCAAGAUCAUUGAGUCCAACCAUUAACCUAACACUGUCACUAAGAACCUCAUCAGGUCAUUAUAAAGCACAACUCUUACAUGAUUAUCUUUGUGGGCAGCACGAGCUGACACUUGUUCAGGGUGCAUCACAGAAGCUCUCAAACAUGAUGUAUUGCAGAACAACUGAUGGAAGCAUUGGGGACAACAGCCACAGAUGGGCAGAUGUGAUACCCAAGUGCAGAGAUGUCUCAGCCUGGGCAGACAGAGGUGACACCUGAACCCUUCCGAAGAGGUUUUGCAGCAUGGUCACUCCUCAGUGCCAUGAUCCUAAGCCCAGACUGCAAACCUUUCUGGACAGAUUUGGAAGCCAGAUCAAAAUGCUGCAGAUUAGUAUGACCUACACCAGAGUGUUUUGGAAGUGGCCAUGCCAGUACACAGAGUAAAUUCAGAGGCCGUGAAGAGGAGAGACAGAGAAGCAGAGACUGCAUCCCUAUGUAAUCCAGAUAAAAAUAAUUCCUUUUUUCUUUUUUUUUUUCUCUAUUUAACCUUCAUUCUGAGUAUUAAAUGUAGGAUAAAAGAGCCAUACAAUACAAUGCAAUAGGAGGUAAUCAAAACCAAACUGGGCUCCUAGGAAUGGAGAUACUCAACAUUUACUUAUGGAAAUUAAUACCUCCAUUGUAGCUGAAGCAGCAGGACAGGAACCUUCUAGCCAGCUUUGGCAAGGCUGGGGACACACCGCAGCUCUGGCUGCAGCAGAGCGCCCGUCUGCUCCCUGCCCUGGGACCAAGGCCUUCACAGGCAACACUCAAACAACUUCUUAGAACAACUGUGGGAAGAGAAAUAUACUUUUAACGUGAAGCAACUGAGCCCAGCCUUCUAGAAGCCCCUCUAGGCACUAAAAAUACUUGGAAGAUUCUGAAAAAAAAACUGGGAAUGACAGGAUUUAGGAAACUUUGAUGAAAACAGACACUAACGGUCUGUGAAAUGUUCUGCUCACCACAAAGCAGAUACUAAUGCUACAGAAAGAGCCUGCAGUUGGAAAUCCGGAGUCAUUGUAUAUUAAUAAUCUAAAAUUAAAGCCCGAAUGCUUUGCAUUGCGCAGAGAAGCUGGUAUAAACGCCUCCACUCCUUGCACUCCUGCAAGCCCCCAAACCCCUGCUACAGAUGGGUCAUAGGGGCAGGAUCAGUGCUGCUGAACAGCAAGCACCAGAGGGAGAUCCCAGGUUCCAGCAGGUCCCUGCUGGGACAUAGCAUCCUCCUCCUCCUCACCUGCUUUUCCCCAACCCUAACCCUGCUAAAACUGUACUGGAAGAUCAGGAAAGUAGAGCUGAAUUACCCAUUUCUGGAUAAUAAUCACCACAAGAAACCAUCACCUUGUGGAAUGCCACUCCAGUGGAAAAAUGCCAGUGGUCCUCCAAAGCGCCUUGCCCUCACAGCAAAUACUGAAUCUUUGGCAUUUUGGAGGGUAACAGAAAUCUGCCUUUUGACUUUUUUUUUUUUGUAUUGGUCUCACUUCUUUGCUUAUGGACACUUAGAAAAUGGUCUGUCCCUCACACCCAGCUGGCACGAACCGAGGACGGCAGCCCCUGCCAUCCCGGCAGGGACACGGUCUCAGAGACGUGCAGCAGCCACACUGAGCACACACACGUGCUCCCUCUCUGUAUUAGUGUUGCAUAUGAAUCAAUAUUUUCUACUCCUUAUUGACCGUUUUCUCCAUCAGAAAUUCAAGAGCCAUCUAGCCACAGUUCCUCGAAAGCCAUGGGUGGCUGGGGGGAAUCCAGGCAGGACGGCAUCAGUGUCCCAGCAGGGCAGGAGAAAGCAAAUACAUCGCAGUGUUUGGGCAUCCACAUUUCACAAGCUUGUUUCCCUGUGGACACGCUGCUUAUGCAGUCAAGGCGCGUUUCCCUGUGUGCCCAUGCGUGUCAAUUUGUCAGUCGGUUUCUUCCAAAUAAAUUUCGAGACUAACACCAACCAAAUAACCUACUAAACAAUCCCAGCUACCAGGGAUGGAGGAGCAAGCAGUCUCUGAGGCAUUAUGAAACCCUGCGAGUGGCUGGAGAGGCAAGACAGCUGGUGUCCCCAUCCUGGGGAGGGGCUGAAGUGCAGGACCAACUCACAGACACUGAGGAACCCCCGAGUGACGAGAGGGUGGAUGCAGAACCAUCCCCCUACAAGGGGACACCCCUCGGCGAGCGGCCUCCCCAGCCCCGUGCAACACGCUCUGCCCGCUGCCGCCUUCGCUCGCGUGGUCAAACCGCUGCUACCCACUUCAGUGCUGAGGCAAAUCUGCUAGAAAUUCACCAUCUCACUGUUUCAGGUGAGCGCUGAGAAAAACACCCACUUUAUGUCCUCCAAGGAAGUUACCCAGCUAAAACAGAGACCAUCAGCCUAGAUACUUGCAGUCCCAGCAGAAAGCAAUGCUCUGCUCUCCUUCAUUAAUUUUUAGGGGAGGGGAAGCAGACAGGGAUGAUGACAGAGGGAAUGAGGUGUGAGUUUGGCUGGGGCCAUUUCACAUUCACUUUCUCCUGCAUCACAAGAAAUCAGAAGUGACACAGAUUAUUUUUGUUCCUCUUUUGUAGGUCACCUCUAAUAGAAAUGUUAAUAAUGCUUGCUAUCUGUAUAUCUGAAAUCUUGUAUGGUAGCUGUGUAAUUCACCAUCUUUAUCAGCCUUCUUUAAUGUAUAAUUUAAUGCUUGUAUAACUAUUUUGUUUGGGAAUGAUUCUCAGAAUCACUACUGAAAAAAAUCUGUAUGCUAGUUAACUACUUUUUAUGGAACGUAUUUCUUUCAUGUUAUUUUAAAACCAUGGAGCUGGGGGAAGUAUUUUAUGGACCCAAGUACCUCGCAGGGUAGUUAAUUUCUGUUUGAGCUGGUUUCUCUGCUAUUUUAAAGGGUGCCAUCAAGAUCAUUGCUAUUUCUCUUGGUUGGGAGCCAGCUGACUUUUCUGCAGUUGCGACACAUGCUUAAGCUGCUAUUAAAGCUGGGGAAAAUAGUAAAUACAGGAGCGGGGUGCUGCAUCGCCCCACACCAAUGAGUGCAAAGAAGGAUGGAGCAUUUACCUCGCUGUCCCAGGCACCCCAGGGCAGCCACUGCUUGAAAUUAGGCACUGGGGAUACUGCCUCCUUCUCCUGAUGGGCAGAAACUAUUUCACCAUGGGAAUAUGGGAAAAAAAUGAUGAGGACAACUCACAUACCCGCUGCCACCGGGCCGUGUCCCAGCCGUCCUGUCCGUCAGGUGUGGGGCAGCCGAGCCGCUGCAGCCCCAGGAAAGACGUUUGCUUCCCACAGGCAGCAAAUGUGUCUCGGUGACGUGUGCGCCGGGGGCUCGAUGAUGCACGUGGGCCUUCGCCGUGUGCCGUGGCUUGGAGAAAGAGCUCUCUGCUGUAAGAGCAGUAAUUGGGUGGUCAGCCGAGCCCUAGGCAAGCUCAAGUUAUGCGCUAAAUAUUCCGCCCUUUGUUUCAUAAUGAAUUAUUUUGUGUAUCUAAGCAAAGUGGGUUUUCUUUUUGGUCUUUUCUCUGCAGUUUGUUCCUAGCCUUCUCGUGGGUGUGUGAUGAAAUCUUUGCCUUUUGCUUAUGAGGUCAAGUGCUUUAAUCAGGAGCAAAAAAAUUGUGUGCUUUAGUCCUAAAUUCUCUGAGCGGCUGCCAAAUAUAAUUAGAAACAAAUGGCUUUAUUCCUCAUUUGAGAGCUCCACAGACAUUGUGGGGGUUGAAGGGGGAGAGCUUGCUUUGCCUGGCUGUUUUUUGGGGAGGUUGCAAACAAAAACACUGCCAGAAACACCCGAGGAAGCCCUGUGAGAGGAGGCGAAUGCCUUGUGCUCUCUGCAGAGGCCAGAGGGUGCGAGGGGUGGUGUGGGGCGCAGUGCACGGGAGGCUGAGCAUCCCCUCCACCUCUCUGGUGUCUCCCAGGACGAGGAGCGGGUUUGUUGCAUGCACAAGCUCUUGGAGGUCACAAACCACCUGUCUCAACAAACAGCUUUGGCACGAAAAUGGCUACAAAGCAUCACUUACCGGCUUGUUCAAGGUGUGAAGUUUUGCAGCAUUGCAUCACAGCCUGGCAUCACCUUGUGGCAUGGCAUUGCCUCAUGGCAUCACCUCACAGCGUGGCAUCAUCUCAUGGUAUCACCUCCAUGGCAUGGCAUCACCUCACUGCACUGCCUCAUGGCACGGCAUCAUGGCAUGACAUUGUCUCAUGGCAACACCUCACAGCGUGGUGUCACCUCAUGGCAUGGCCUCACCAGCAUGACAUUGUCUCAUGGGAUCACCUCACUGCGUGGCAACACCUCACGGCAUGACCUCACCUUGUGGCAUCACAUCACCUUGCAGCAUCACCUCAAGGCAUGGUGGUGCCUUGUGGCGUGGCCUGCGGCUGAAUAGGGGUGCUGGGGGAAGACAGGGAGCCCACUACCACCACCACCAGCACCAGCACCAGCACCACCACCAAGCCCCCCUGCGGCCAUGCCAGUGCUCUGGGUACCAGGACUGCCUCAUACACCGGAAGUGGAUUUUUUUCUUUUUUUUUCACUAAAUUUCAGAGCAAACUGGAUAAAACUUGCAAGUUCUGUGUUUUUUCCCUCGCUUUCUCCCUUUCUUAAGGAAGGCCCCCUUGGGGUGGGCACCCUCAGCCACCUCCUUUCCCUGGAGAGCAGUCUCCGGGGUUCAGGACUUUUAAGUUUCCUGAAUGUGG